UCCUCGUUGAAGCGAGGCAGUCUGUCCAGAGUGCUCCAGCCUCUCGACCGGGUGGCAACAGAACAUAGGGGUUGCGCUCGUUGCAGGACUUAACCCAACAUCUCACGACACGAGCUGACGACAACCAUGCAGCACCUGUGCAAGCUCCCCUUGCGGGGUCGUCCCACUUUCAUGGUUCUACCACUUGCAUGUCAAGGCCUGGUAAGGUUCUUCGCGUUGCUUCGAAUUAAACCACAUGCUCCACCGCUUGUGCGGGCCCCCGUCAAUUCAUUUGAGUUUUAACCUUGCGGCCGUACUCCCCAGGCGGUCAACUUAAUGCGUUAGCUGCGGCACUGAUCGGGUCAAUCCGACCAACACCUAGUUCACAACGUUUAGGGCGUGGACUAC
rnacentral:misc_RNA from 1 species